rnacentral:tRNA from 1 species
GCCCUCGUAGCUUAAUGGAUAGAGCCAUCGCCUCCUAAGCGAUAGAUCCAGAUUCGAGUUCUGGCGGGGGCA